CUGCGCCGCCACCAUCCGCUCUGCCGCCCUUCGCUCCACUUCGAAGGUAAGGAAACACUGGUCGUCCUCUACUCCGAAUCCGAAUCUGAAACAGUGGACGACUUCACCUUCGUCGACGCCCAGCAGCCUCCUAGUCUAGUAUCUGCAGGAGGCGGCGGUUUCAUAGUCCUGCCGCUGCUGUACCCAGUCUUGGCCGGCCGAGAUCCCCUCCGCGGGCUGCUCCGGAGACGGCCACCACGCGAGAUUCUGGGCGCCAGGAGGGAAGCAACUGCCAUGGCUGGCUACUUGCUUUUUACUCUGUUGGCUCACCCAAAGGUUGCAAGGUUUCGCAAGAAGCCAUUUCCUCUUUUCUACUCUUUAGAAGCACUUUAUGAAGGUAGUGUGGCUACAGGACAAUUAAAUUUCACAUCAACUCAACAACUGCCUCCUGCUAUUAUUCCUCCUCUUGCUCCUCCUGCUAUUGUUCCUCCUGCUCCUAGUUUUGUUGUUCCUUCAGCUAGGAGUACAUCUGAACAGACUCUCCAUCCAUUCAAUACAAAUCCAUUUGAUUUGGAUGGACAAGAGAUGACAAGUGAAGCUCAAUCUGUGUCAGCUAUUCAUGAAGCAAGAGAGGGAGAAGGUAGCAAAAGUAGAAAGCGUAAGCAGAGCCAUGUUGGAGCAGCUCUCGAAGACUAUGUGGAGUUCAAAAAGAGCCAAACUAACAAGGCACUUGAUGCUCUCAAAGAACUUUCCAUGAGGAAGUGUAUGGAGGAAAUAGAAGCAAUAGGUGGAUUCACAGAAGAGGAGAAGUCAUAUGCUGUGGAGGUCUUUGAGUCCGGGAUUAAUAGAGAGGCUUUCAUGUCAACAAUGAACCACAAUGUUCAAAGAAUGUGGCUAAAGCGCAAAAUCAGGUAUGUCCAUAGUUAA
rnacentral:misc_RNA from 1 species